UACAGAGGGGGCAAGCGUUGUUCGGAAUUACUGGGCGUAAAGGGCGCGUAGGCGGCCUGCUAAGUCGAACGUGAAAUCCCUGGGCUCAACCCAGGAACUGCACCUGAAACUACCAGUCUUGAGUGGUGGAGAGGGAAGUGGAAUUCCUGGUGUAGAGGUGAAAUUCGUAGAGAUCCGGAGGAACACCAGAGGCGAAGGCGGCUCACGUGGACUGGUAUUGACGCUGAGGUGCGAAAGCGUGGGGAGCAAACAGGG
rnacentral:rRNA from 1 species